rnacentral:rRNA from 1 species
CACGCCGUAAACGAUGGAUACUUGUUGUUGGAGGUAUUGACCCCUUCAGUGACGAAGCUAACGCGUUAAGUAUCCCGCCUGGGGAGUACGGUCGCAAGAUUAAAACUCAAAGAAAUUGACGGGGGCCCGCACAAGCGGUGGAGCAUGUGGUUUAAUUCGAUGCAACGCGAAGAACCUUACCUGGGCUUGACAUGAACUGGAAGGGUGGCAGAAAUGUCCCCGCUCGCAAGAGUCGGUUCACAGGUGC